rnacentral:rRNA from 1 species
GACGAACGCUGGCGGCGUGCUUAACACAUGCAAGUCGAACGGAAAGGCCCUGCUUUUGUGGGGUGCUCGAGUGGCGAACGGGUGAGUAACACGUGAGUAACCUGCCCUUGACUUUGGGAUAACUUCAGGAAACUGGGGCUAAUACCGGAUAGGAGCUCCUGCUGCAUGGUGGGGGUUGGAAAGUUUCGGCGGUUGGGGAUGGACUCGCGGCUUAUCAGCUUGUUGGUGGGGUAGUGGCUUACCAAGGCUUUGACGGGUAGCAGGCCUGAGAGGGUGACCGGCCACAUUGGGACGGAGAUACGGCCCAGACUCCUACGGGAGGCAGCAGUGGGGAAUAUUGCACAAUGGGCGGAAGCCUGAUGCAGCAACGCCGCGUGCGGGAUGACGGCCUUCGGGUUGUAAACCGCUUGCGCCUGUGACGAAGCGUGAGUGGCGGUAAUGGGUAAAGAAGCACCGGCUAACUACGUG